AUUGAACGCUGGCGGCAUGCCUUACACAUGCAAGUCGAACGGCAGCACGGGGCAACCUGGUGGCGAGUGGCGAACGGGUGAGUAAUGCAUCGGAACGUACCUUUCAGUGGGGGAUAACGUAGCGAAAGUUACGCUAAUACCGCAUAUUCUGUGAGCAGGAAAGCAGGGGAUCGCAAGACCUUGCGCUGAUUGAGCGGCCGAUGUCAGAUUAGCUAGUUGGUGAGGUAAAGGCUCACAAAGGCGACGAUCUGUAGCGGGUCUGAGAGGAUGAGCGGCCCCACUGGAGCUGAGACACGGUCCAGGCUCCUACGGGAGGCAGCAGUGGGGAAUUUUGGACAAUGGGGGCAACCCUGAUCCAGCCAUGCCGCGUGAGUGAAGAAGGCCUUCGGGUUGUAAAGCUCUUUCGGCCGAGAAGAAAUCGCACGGGCUAAUACCCUGUGUGGAUGACGGUACCGGAAUAAGAAGCACCGGCUAACUACGUGCCAGCCGCCGCGGUAAUAC
rnacentral:rRNA from 1 species